rnacentral:rRNA from 1 species
GACGAACGCUGGCGGCGUGCCCAAUACAUGCAAGUAGGACGCACAGUCUAUACCGUAGCUUGCUACACCAUAGGCUGUGAGUUGCGAACGGGUGAGUAACGCGUAGGUAACCUGCCUAUUAGAGGGGGAUAACUAUUGGAAACGAUAGCUAAUACCGCAUAACAGUAUGUAACACAUGUUAGAUGCUUGAAAGAUGCAAUUGCAUCGCUAGUAGAUGGACCUGCGUUGUAUUAGCUAGUAGGUAGGGUAAUGGCCUACCUAGGCGACGAUACAUAGCCGACCUGAGAGGGUGAUCGGCCACACUGGGACUGAGACACGGCCCAGACUCCUACGGGAGGCAGCAGUAGGGAAUCUUCGGCAAUGGGGGGAACCCUGACCGAGCAACGCCGCGUGAGUGAAGAAGGUUUUCGGAUCGUAAAGCUCUGUUGUUAAGGAAGAACGAGUGUGAGAAUGGAAAGUUCAUACUGUGACGGUACUUAACCAGAAAGGGACGGCUAACUACGUGCCAGCAGCCGCGGUAAUACGUAGGUCCCGAGCGUUGUCCGGAUUUAUUGGGCGUAAAGCGAGCGCAGGCGGUUAGAAAAGUCUGAAGUGAAAGGCAGUGGCUCAACCAUUGUAGGCUUUGGAAACUGUUUAACUUGAGUGCAGAAGGGGAGAGUGGAAUUCCAUGUGUAGCGGUGAAAUGCGUAGAUAUAUGGAGGAACACCGGUGGCGAAAGCGGCUCUCUGGUCUGUAACUGACGCUGAGGCUCGAAAGCGUGGGGAGCGAACAGG